UACUUUUGAGGGUCAGAUGGUAUAGUUUAUCGAUAAAACAACGGUCACACUGCGCCAUAUAUCACAAAAUGUUAACCUUAUUGGAAAAACGAAACCAAAAACAAUAAUUAGCCAUCAAAAACCUACAUAAAACAAUCUACAGUCAUGGCAGAUACCUCUGCAUGUCAAUUGCAGUGCGAGUACAAGGCGGUAAGUUCCAAAGCGACCACUUGCCAAAUUUGCAUCCCUCCAUGCGAUCCCAAAUCUUGUGUAACAAGCAAAUGCAAGACACAUCGAACGCCCACGUCGCCACUGGCGAGCUCUACUCCAUGGUAGGAAAGUUGUUUCGAAAGAAUAUCGGUGACCCUCGCACCAAGCUGGAAAAUACUGAAGAGCAGUAGCAUGAUGUGUGUGAUUCGUGCGGUCUAUGUGGAUCAGCCCAGGGAUGUCCCCUGCGGUGGAGCUCGGAGCUUUUUUAUAGUUCUCAUGAACCACCUGGGCAUGAGAUCACAGACUUUGGCAGCGGUGCCAUAAACGCACUGAGAGCAACAACUAACUAUUAUGUACCAGAUUUGGAUGAACACGCGCCCAUUGAUUCAGAGAAUUAUUGGCCAAUAAAGAGGCUGCCAGCAAUGUGCAGAGAGAUUGGGUUUCUACAUCCCCUGUACAUCGAUUUCUAUUAGCUGCCAAGUUGCCAGAGCAAGAUCUACAGGAGUAGAUCUGUCGCCAGACAGACAAUGAACUCCGGCGGCGGCACCGCACUCGCAAAUAUCAGCUGCCAGUAUUGCAAGCUCGCGACUGAGCGAUUCGAAGAAGACAUUGAGCCGGGCCCCUCAUCUGACACAAGCCUCUCUCAAGCGAUGCAGUGAGACGAAAAUCGAAAUCUCAUUCGUCGUCAUGGAGCCGAAGGAUGAGGAUCUUACAGCUCUCCAAUACACAAAUGAGCGAUGUGGUAUCGGUGUCGUACCCCAACAUUGAGCUCAACUAUGUGGUUGUCAGGCUGGAGAAUGAAUGCCCCGUCGCUGCAUCCAUCGUCCCGCUGAAGAUCACGGAAGGCUGGCCAACGAGCUGACCAUACAUUGUAGUGCAGCAGCGACUCCAACUUGGGCUGCGAUCAGGACUAAAAAUUAUGAAUCUGAGAUUGGGAACGAGUCGAAUUAAGGAGCAGGAUAAGAUUAGCAUGCAUAAUGUACAGAAACAGCCAAUUAUGCAAAAAUGUAUAGAAAUUUUGGUUACAAAUAAAGGUGUGGCAUACUUUCAGA